GUCAGCGUGGUGUAGUGGUUUGAGCACUGGACUACAGCUCUGGAGACCAGGGUUCAAAUUCCUGCUCAAGCA